GGGGCCGUAGCUCAGUUGGGAGAGCGUCUGGUUUGCAACCAGAAGGUCGCCGGUUCGAGUCCGGUCGGCUCCA
rnacentral:tRNA from 1 species